rnacentral:rRNA from 1 species
ACGCUCGACACCUACGGGAGGGCAGCAGUGGGGAAUAUUGCACAAUGGGGGAAACCCUGAUGCAGCGACGCCGCGUGAAGGAAGAAGUAUCUCGGUAUGUAAACUUCUAUCAGCAGGGAAGAAAAUGACGGUACCUGACUAAGAAGCCCCGGNUAACUACGUGCCGGCAGCCGCGGUAAUCUGAGCGGGCGUGGCGAAGGC